rnacentral:tRNA from 1 species
GCCGAGGUGGCGGAAUGGUAGACGCGCAGGAUUUAGGAUCCUGUGUCCGUUAAGGACGUGGGGGUUCGAGUCCCUUCCUCGGCA